AUACGGAGGGUGCAAGCGUUACUCGGAAUCACUGGGCGUAAAGCGCGCGCAGGCGGGCUGAUAAGUUGGAUGUGAAAGCCUACGGCUCAACCGUAGAACUGCAUCCAAAACUGUCAGUCUAGAGUGUGGGAGAGGAAGAUGGAAUUAGUUGUGUAGGGGUAAAAUCCGUAGAGAUAACUAGGAAUACCAAAAGCGAAGGCAAUCUUCUGGAACACUACUGACGCUGAGGCGCGAAGGCGUGGGGAGCAAACGGGAUUAGAAACCCCAGUAGUCC
rnacentral:rRNA from 1 species